CGAGCAUCUGCAGCACUUCUCCUCAGAGAGCGCAUAGUAAUCAUCUCUCUUCAUGGUCAGUAACCACAUAAGGACAACACCAGACGAUGCCAGUGGUUUGGUUCUGCAGCAUUUAUAUGCUUCCCCACAAAGAGAGUCGUGCCAAACAAUAUUCGUCAACCUUGUCCUUGGUCUUCUCUUCUGAUUGAGGCAGAUGUUUAUUUUCCAUCUGUACUAUAUGUCAGUGUGACUGCAGUCUUCAUCUGGCAAAGGGACCCUGUAAUAUUAUGAGGCCAUCACAUAAGCUGGAAAGAUUACUCUAGUGAAUAAAAUCAGUUUAUGGCUAAAAACAUUUAUUCUUCAUUUUGAUAAGCUCUUAACAAAUGGAAAUUUGCUUUCUUACACUUUUGCCAAGCAUAGGACCAUGUUUAUUUCUCGCUAUAUGGGUCACGAAGGAUUCCCAGCUGUUAGCUAGAGUCAGUUGUGCAUUGCUGCACUCAACAACAUCUGUUUCACAAAAACAGUAUCCAGCUUUUAGCACUCAAAUGGACGUCCGACCAUAUGCCAGCAGACCACUUAGUUUUUACCUUGGGA
rnacentral:lncRNA from 1 species